rnacentral:rRNA from 1 species
AUUGAACGCUGGCGGCAUGCCUUACACAUGCAAGUCGAACGGUAACAGGUCUUCGGAUGCUGACGAGUGGCGAACGGGUGAGUAAUGCAUCGGAACGUGCCCAGUAGUGGGGGAUAGCCCGGCGAAAGCUGGAUUAAUACCGCAUACGACCUGAGGGUGAAAGGGGGGGAUCGAAAGACCUCUCGCUUUUGGAGCGGACGAUGUCAGAUUAGCUAGGUGGUGGGGUAAAGGCCUACCAAGGCAACGAUCUGUAGUUGGUCUGAGAGGACGACCAGCCACACUGGGACUGAGACACGGCCCAGACUCCUACGGGAGGCAGCAGUGGGGAAUUUUGGACAAUGGGCGCAAGCCUGAUCCAGCAAUGCCGCGUGCAGGAAGAAGGCCUUCGGGUUGUAAACUGCUUUUGUCAGGGGAGAAAUCUUCUGGGCUAAUACCCUGGGAGGAUUACGGUACCUGAAGAAUAAGCACCGGCUAACUACGUGCCAGCAGCCGCCGUAAUAC